GGCUCCAUAGUGCAGUGGUUAGCACGUCUGCUUUACACGCAGAAGGUCCUGGGUUCGCGUGCCAGGUGGAGCCA
rnacentral:tRNA from 1 species